CAGGUGCUCUGCCUCCAGCAAGAGGUGGCUCUGGAGGACAGCUCUCCAUGGGCUUAGACACCUGUGCUCCCAGACAACAGCUUCUGCCCUGCUCCCAGAUGACAGCCAGAGCCCUGCCUGUCGGGAGGUCACGCUCAUGCCCAGGACUUCUAGGCCUCAGCAGUGCUCCCAAGGGUGUGGCACUAGGUGAAGCAGGGCAGGUGGAAUGAAGGAGCAGGCAGGAAGAUCCAGCUCUUCCGAGUCACACUCGAGAGCUCUGCAGACACAAAGACAAUGCCAUGCCUCCCCCAAAUGCUUUUUGUUUUGGAAAAUAUAGCUGUUUGUCAUAAGGUAUUUACGUUGACGUA
rnacentral:lncRNA from 1 species